rnacentral:rRNA from 1 species
AUUGAACGCUGGCGGCAGGCUUAACACAUGCAAGUCGAACGAGCGGCGGACGGGUGAGUAAUGUCUGGGAAACUGCCUGAUGGAGGGGGAUAACUACUGGAAACGGUGGCUAAUACCGCAUACCAUCAGAUGUGCCCAGAUGGGAUUAGCUAGUAGGUGGGGUAAAGGCUCACCUAGGCGACGAUCCCUAGCUGGUCUGAGAGGAUGACCAGCCACACUGGAACUGAGACACGGGCCAGACUCCUACGGGAGGCAGCAGUGGGGAAUAUUGCACAAUGGGCGAAAGCCUGAUGCAGCAAUGCCGCGUGUGUGAAGAAGGUCUUCGGGUCGUAAAGCUCUGUCGGCGGGGAGGCGGUACUCGCCGAAGAAGCACCGGCUAACUCCGUGCCAGCAGCCGCGGUAAUAC